rnacentral:rRNA from 1 species
UACGAAGGGGGCUAGCGUUGCUCGGAAUCACUGGGCGUAAAGCGCACGUAGGCGGAUUGUUAAGUCAGGGGUGAAAUCCUGGAGCUCAACUCCAGAACUGCCUUUGAUACUGGCGAUCUCGAGUCCGGGAGAGGUGAGUGGAACUGCGAGUGUAGAGGUGAAAUUCGUAGAUAUUCGCAAGAACACCAGUGGCGAAGGCGGCUCACUGGCCCGGUACUGACGCUGAGGCACGAAAGCGUGGGCAGCAAACAGG